rnacentral:sRNA from 1 species
AGAUAGAGAGGGAGUGAGAGGCAGGAGCUGAGACACAGAUCCUGGAGGAAGAAGACCAAAGGAAGAGGGCAGAGACAGAAAGGGAGGUGCUAGGACAAAACUCGAAAGGUGGCCCUAUCAGGGAAGCAGAGGAGAGGCCGUUCUAGGGAAGCCCAGCUCCGGCACUUUUGGCCCCAACUCCCGCAGGGGAACAAGCUGGAGGAGCAGGGCCCUAGACCUCUGCAGCCCACACCAGGGCUCAUGGAGGGGAACAAGCUGGAGGAGCAGGACUCUAGCCCUCCACAGUCCACUCCAGGGCUCAUGAAGGGGGACAAGCGUGAGGAGCAGGGGCUGGGCCCCGAACCUGCGGCGCCCCAGCAGCCCACGGCGGAGGAGGAGGCCCUGAUCGAGUUCCACCGCUCCUACCGAGAGCUCUUCGAGUUCUUCUGCAACAACACCACCAUCCACGGCGCCAUCCGCCUGGUGUGCUCCCAGCACAACCGCAUGAAGACGGCCUUCUGGGCAGUGCUGUGGCUCUGCACCUUUGGCAUGAUGUACUGGCAAUUCGGCCUGCUUUUC